rnacentral:rRNA from 1 species
GAUGAACGCUGGCGGCGUGCCUAAUACAUGCCAGUCGAGCGAACGGACGAGAAGCUUGCUUUUCUGAUGUUAGCGGCGGACGGGUGAGUAACACGUGGAUGACCUACCUAUAAGACUGGGAUAACUUCGGGAAACCGGAGCUAAUACCGGAUAAUAUUUUGAACCGCAUGGUUCAAAAGUGAAAGACGGUCUUGCUGUCACUUAUAGAUUGAUCCGCGCUGCAUUAGCUAGUUGGUAAGGUAACGGCUUACCAAGGCAACGAUGCAUAGCCGACCUGAGAGGGUGAUCGGCCACACUGGAACUGAGACACGGUCCAGACUCCUACGGGAGGCAGCAGUAGGGAAUCUUCCGCAAUGGGCGAAAGCCUGACGGAGCAACGCCGCGUGAGUGAUGAAGGUCUUCGGAUCGUAAAACUCUGUUAUUAGGGAAGAACAUAUGUGUAAGUAACUGUGCACAUCUUGACGGUACCUAAUCAGAAAGCCACGGCUAACUACGUG